ACUAGCAGUAAGAGUUUGAUCCUGGCUCAGAUUGAACGCUGGCGGCGUGCCUAACACAUGCAAGUCGAGCGGUAACAGGCGUAGCAAUACGUGCUGACGAGCGGCGAACGGGUGAGUAAUGCUUCGGAAUCUACCCAAUGGUGGGGAAUAACCAGCCGAAAGGUUGGCUAAUACCGCAUACGUCCUACGGGAGAAAGCAGGGGAUCGUAAGACCUUGCGCCGAUGGAUGAGCCGAAGUCGGAUUAGCUAGUUGGUAGGGUAACGGCCUACCAAGGCGACAAUCCGUAGCUGGUCUGAGAGGACGACCAGCCACACUGGGACUGAGACACGGCCCAGACUCCUACGGGAGGCAGCAGUGGGGAAUAUUGGACAAUGGGGGCAAGCCUGAUCCAGCCAUGCCGCGUGAGUGAUGAAGGCCUUAGGGUUGUAAAGCUCUUUUACCAGGGAAGAUAAUGACGGUACCUGGAGAAUAAGCCCCGGCUAACUUCGUGCCAGCCGCCGCGGUAAUAC
rnacentral:rRNA from 1 species